AUUUUGGGNUGAAUGCUGGCGGCAUGCUUUACACAUGCAAGUCGAACGGUAACAGGUCUUCGGAUGCUGACGAGUGGCGAACGGGUGAGUAAUACAUCGGAACGUGCCUAGUAGUGGGGGAUAACUACUCGAAAGAGUAGCUAAUACCGCAUGAGAUCUACGGAUGAAAGCAGGGGACCUUCGGGCCUUGUGCUACUAGAGCGGCUGAUGGCAGAUUAGGUAGUUGGUGGGGUAAAGGCUUACCAAGCCUGCGAUCUGUAGCUGGUCUGAGAGGACGACCAGCCACACUGGGACUGAGACACGGCCCAGACUCCUACGGGAGGCAGCAGUGGGGAAUUUUGGACAAUGGGCGAAAGCCUGAUCCAGCAAUGCCGCGUGCAGGAUGAAGGCCCUCGGGUUGUAAACUGCUUUUGUACGGAACGAAAAGCCUGGGGCUAAUACCCCCGGGUCAUGACGGUACCGUAAGAAUAAGCACCGGCUAACUACGUGCCAGCAGCCGCGGUAAUACGUAGGGUGCAAGCGUUAAUCGGAAUUACUGGGCGUAAAGCGUGCGCAGGCGGUUUUGUAAGACAGUGGUGAAAUCCCCGGGCUCAACCUGGGAACUGCCAUUGUGACUGCAAAGCUAGAGUGCGGCAGAGGGGGAUGGAAUUCCCCGUGUAGCCAGUGAAAUGCGUAGAUAUGCGGAGGAACACCGAUGGCGAAGGCCAUCCCCUGGGCCUGCC
rnacentral:rRNA from 1 species